UGACGUCAAAUCAUCAUGCCCCUUAUGACCUGGGCUACACACGUGCUACAAUGGUUGGUACAACGAGUUGCGAGUCGGUGACGGCGAGCUAAUCUCUUAAAGCCAAUCUCAGUUCGGAUUGUAGGCUGCAACUCGCCUACAUGAAGUCGGAAUCGCUAGUAAUCGCAGAUCAGCACGCCGCGGUGAAUACGUUCCCGGGCCUU
rnacentral:rRNA from 1 species